CCUACGGGUGGCAGCAGUGAGGAAUAUUGGUCAAUGGCCGAGAGUCUGAACCAGCCAAGUCGCGUGCAGGAUGACGGCCCUACGGGUUGUAAACCUCUUUUGUCGGGGAGCAAAGCGAGUCACGUGUGACUCAUUGCGAGUACCCGACGAAAAAGCAUCGGCUAAAUCCGUGCCAGCAGCCGCGGUAAUACGGAGGGUGCGAGCGUUAUCCGGAUUUAUUGGGUUUAAAGGGUGCGGAGGCGGGAGGAAAAGUUAGCGGUGAAAUUUGGUGGCUCAACCCCGGUACUGCCGUUGAAACUGUAUGGCUAGAGUGUGCGAGAGGUAGGCGGAAUGCGUGGUGUAGCGGUGAAAUGCGUAGAGAUCACGAAGAACUCCGAUUGCGAAGGCAGCAUAC
rnacentral:rRNA from 1 species